AGUAUGCCCAUCUGAUGUGUUUACUUCAGCAGCACAUAUACUAUAAAAAAAAAAAAGAACAAUACAGAGAAGAUUAGUGUGGCCCCUGUGCAAGGGUGACACACCAAUUCAUGAAGUAUUCCAUAAAAUAUUUUU
rnacentral:snRNA from 1 species